rnacentral:lncRNA from 1 species
UGAAAACUAAUACAGGGUUGACCUAGCAUGGCGUUAAAAUUUCAUGAUGACUUCACGAGCUUUGGAAUCAGGCAGCAAAAGGUGAUCAGUUAGAGCACUGAGUUUGGGAAUUAAAAUACCCCACACUGUUUCAGACACUACUCCAGAAAUCCAAAAUUGGUCAGUGUCUCAGUACUACACCCACGGUAAACAUUUACUGGUCCCCAACACAGUCCUUCGUUUUUUUUUUAUAUGCAGAAACAACCAUUAAUGUUUUCACUCUUAAGUUUAUUAUGUUUUUUAUGCAGAAACAACCAUUAAUGUACACAGUAACUGUUGUAAAAGAUGAGAUGUAUAAAAUGAGAUGAAACAUGUUAUGAAACAUGUUAUGAAAUGAGAGGUUUUUUUCCUUUUUAUUUAGGUUGUUGGUGAUGUGUUUUUGAUUAGGUAUGAGAAAUAUGAGGAGUGAGAGAGAACAUUUAAUGAGAACCCCAUCUGAGAUUGACCUUACACUGCAGCGCAGGGCUCAAUUAUGAGACUGCAACGUAGAGUUAUUACAUAAGACGUGAGAAUUAGGACUUUGAGCUUUGCUUUAUGUGAAUUUGGAAAUAGCAGGCAAAGGGACAAAAGCAACAUUCAGUAAAGUAGGACUGGUGGGGAAGAUCCCUUUGUAGCUAAGUUCAUAGGGUUUUGUUUAUGUUCUUUCUCUGUCAAUCAGAAUGGUAGGAACCAAAAAACCCAACAAUUUAUGCAUUUUUCUGUGAUGCUGCAAUCUGCUAUGUAUAUAUCUGUAUAUGCCAACCCUCUUCAUCUGCUAUGUCCAAUUACACUCUGCUUACUAAUAUCUAUUAUUCAACAUCGAAUCCACACCCUGCAUGGCCCCAUUCAAAUUCAAACCAUCCCUACAGUUAAUGCCUGUGCAUGCAUAUGCUUCUCUCCGACUUUUCAUUUUCAAUAAUUCUCAUUUUACUUUCAAAACCUAACUCAUUCUAUUCCUAUGUUAAUUCAUUUUAUUUUAUUUAAUAAUAAAAUAACCUAUCAUACAACCUACACGUGAGUAUAUUCUCAUUUGUAGAUUUCUGAUGUAAAUUAACUGUGUUUCUCUAAAAAUGCAUGUGAGUAGAUUCUCUUGUUCAUGGGACAGAAGGUCCUAGAAUUUGUUUCUUCAAAUAAAAUAAACGAAAACAGAAACUAAAAAAAAGUUCAAAUGGGUGAAAACAAAACCUGUGAUUUCCCAGCUGGGUAAAAAAUCAGAAUGGUAGAGGAUCCCAUAAAAGUAAUUGUUUAUUGGAUUGAUACACACAGGUUUGACGAAUAAGGAAUGGUUAAAAACUUGCACAGUAAAUUCAAUGGUCAAAAAGUCAGAACUUAAAUCAUUAAUAUAUCUCAGCAGCUAGCUAACAGUUUUUUCAGUAGACAUAAUUAUGAAAUUAACUCAUCUAGAUUCUCACAUUGUGUAUUAAAAACUUGUUAACUAACAAGAAAGUUAACACAUUGUGAAUAAUAUAGUUUCAAACACCAUGAUUGAAUUUUUGUUAUCAUCUCAGCAUUACUAUAUUCUUUCAGUCUAUGAAAUCUAUAUUUACAUUUUCUUCAUAUUCAAUUCAUUUAACAUCUUACACAACUGUUGUAUCAUGCAGAUUGUGGAUUGGGUUUGGGAAGAAGGGAUGCUAACUAUUUAUAUCAGUAAAAAAAAGUCAGAUGUUAAACCAGAACAAGUUAAUGCAAAUUAGUAAAAUGUUAAUCAAUUAACAUUAAAUAAUUCACUUUUGAACAAAUUUUGAGCAUAUUAUUUGUAUUUAACAACACAACAAGGUGAUUAAUGUUCAUGAUUGUUUAAUCCAGCCUACAGAAUAAUCCUUAAGGAAGAUAGAUACACAGAGAUAGAAAUGCAAGCCAAGAACUGAUAUGUACGAAUUCCUAAAGAAACAAUAGCAUUCACGGUUUAAAAUGAAAGCACAAUAUUUUGCAGUUUGAUAGGAAGAGAAUGUCAGCAGAACCUGACAUCAUAAUUUAAGAGGGCAGAGUGUCCAUAUCCAAGCAGGAAUAGUGGGUUCAUUUUUUGAAUCCCAAGAAAACAAACUCUCAUUAUCCUUCCUGUCUCACCCUAGCUAGAAAGGGACACAUCAACCCUAAUUUUACGUGCAGGUAAUCAUCAUUUAUAUUCACUGCUUCAGUGUUUGAUGUCUUUUUUUAUUUUUAUUUUUGCAUUUUUUUCUCACUCUAUUAAAUUUAUUUCAUUUAUUGUUAUAGACCGUGCUGACAGGGCUGAGCUUUUUUCAUUAUAUAUAUAGCUUCCCUUACUCACAUCUCAUGCCACUGUUCAAAGCUGAGCUGAACUCACAAGAAACACUCUUUCAGUUCAACUUCAACCACCUUUGUCUAGCUUUUCAAAAUGUCCUGUGUAAUGCAGGACGAGCUCUUGAAGCUCUUCCUCAUGAUUCCUCGUAAUGAAGGUCAACAUACUCCAAGUCCUAUCAUGUGGUAGAUGUUAAGGCGGUAUCUCUCCUGAGCUUAUUCUUCUUACAUUUUUUUUAUCGUUUUAUCAACUUUAUGAAUAAUGUUCAAGUUUUCUUGACCUUGCAAGUCCACAAGAAGAAAAGACUGGUCAAAAUUACUUGUAACUUUUUCAUAAAAGUAUGAGAUUUAGUAGAUUAGGUAGAAUAUUUUAGACGGUAGAUGUUUGAUCCUAUCCCUCCUUGAGCUUGAGCUUGUUGGUUUACCAUUUAUCUUUUAUUUAUGUGUAUUUUGCUUUGUGUAAUAAAUGUAAUCUUCUUUUCCUAAUCAGUGAAGAUAGUGAAUGGUUCAUACCAUCAUAUAUUUGUCUCUUUUGAGUGGAAGAAUUGAUUUCUAGCCUUCGUCUUGGAACUUACACA